rnacentral:rRNA from 3 species
GGGUUGUGAGGUUAAGCGACUAAGCGUACACGGUGGAUGCCCUGGCAGUCAGAGGCGAUGAAGGGCGUGCUAAUCUGCGAUAAGCGCCGGUAAGGUGAUAUGAACCGUUAUAACCGGCGAUACCCGAAUGGGGAAACCCAGUGUGAUUCGUCACACUAUCAUUAACUGAAUCCAUAGGUUAAUGAGGCGAACCGGGGGAACUGAAACAUCUAAGUACCCCGAGGAAAAGAAAUCAACCGAGAUUCCCCCAGUAGCGGCGAGCGAACGGGGAGGAGCCCAGAGCCUGAAUCAGCAUGUGUGUUAGUGGAAGCGUCUGGAAAGGCGCGCGAUACAGGGUGACAGCCCCGUACACAAAAGCGCAUGUGCUGUGAGCUCGAUGAGUAGGGCGGGACACGUGGUAUCCUGUCUGAAUAUGGGGGGACCAUCCUCCAAGGCUAAAUACUCCUGACUGACCGAUAGUGAACCAGUACCGUGAGGGAAAGGCGAAAAGAACCCCGGCGAGGGGAGUGAAAAAGAACCUGAAACCGUGUACGUACAAGCAGUGGGAGCACAGGUUUACCUGUGUGACUGCGUACCUUUUGUAUAAUGGGUCAGCGACUUAUAUUCUGUAGCAAGGUUAACCGAAUAGGGGAGCCGGAGGGAAACCGAGUCUUAACCGGGCGUUAAGUUGCAGGGUAUAGACCCGAAACCCGGUGAUCUAGCCAUGGGCAGGUUGAAGGUUGGGUAACACUAACUGGAGGACCGAACCGACUAAUGUUGAAAAAUUAGCGGAUGACCUGUGGCUGGGGGUGAAAGGCCAAUCAAACCGGGAGAUAGCUGGUUCUCCCCGAAAGCUAUUUAGGUAGCGCCUCGUGAAUUCAUCUCCGGGGGUAGAGCACUGUUUCGGCUAGGGGGCCAUCCCGGCUUACCAACCCGAUGCAAACUGCGAAUACCGGAGAAUGUUAUCACGGGAGACACACGGCGGGUGCUAACGUCCGUCGUGAAGAGGGAAACAACCCAGACCGCCAGCUAAGGUCCCAAAGUCAUGGUUAAGUGGGAAACGAUGUGGGAAGGCCCAGACAGCCAGGAUGUUGGCUUAGAAGCAGCCAUCAUUUAAAGAAAGCGUAAUAGCUCACUGGUCGAGUCGGCCUGCGCGGAAGAUGUAACGGGGCUAAACCAUGCACCGAAGCUGCGGCAGCGACACUGUGUGUUGUUGGGUAGGGGAGCGUUCUGUAAGCCUGUGAAGGUGUGUCGUGAGGCAUGCUGGAGGUAUCAGAAGUGCGAAUGCUGACAUAAGUAACGAUAAAGCGGGUGAAAAGCCCGCUCGCCGGAAGACCAAGGGUUCCUGUCCAACGUUAAUCGGGGCAGGGUGAGUCGACCCCUAAGGCGAGGCCGAAAGGCGUAGUCGAUGGGAAACGGGUUAAUAUUCCCGUACUUGGUGUUACUGCGAAGGGGGGACGGAGAAGGCUAUGUUGGCCGGGCGACGGUUGUCCCGGUUUAAGCGUGUAGGUGUGUGUUCCAGGUAAAUCCGGUUCACUUUAACACUGAGGCGUGACGACGAGGCACUACGGUGCUGAAGCAACAAAUGCCCUGCUUCCAGGAAAAGCCUCUAAGCAUCAGGUAACAUCAAAUCGUACCCCAAACCGACACAGGUGGUCAGGUAGAGAAUACCAAGGCGCUUGAGAGAACUCGGGUGAAGGAACUAGGCAAAAUGGUGCCGUAACUUCGGGAGAAGGCACGCUGACACGUAGGUGAAGUGAUUUACUCAUGGAGCUGAAGUCAGUCGAAGAUACCAGCUGGCUGCAACUGUUUAUUAAAAACACAGCACUGUGCAAACACGAAAGUGGACGUAUACGGUGUGACGCCUGCCCGGUGCCGGAAGGUUAAUUGAUGGGGUCAGCGCAAGCGAAGCUCCUGAUCGAAGCCCCGGUAAACGGCGGCCGUAACUAUAACGGUCCUAAGGUAGCGAAAUUCCUUGUCGGGUAAGUUCCGACCUGCACGAAUGGCGUAAUGAUGGCCAGGCUGUCUCCACCCGAGACUCAGUGAAAUUGAACUCGCUGUGAAGAUGCAGUGUACCCGCGGCAAGACGGAAAGACCCCGUGAACCUUUACUAUAGCUUGACACUGAACAUUGAGCCUUGAUGUGUAGGAUAGGUGGGAGGCUUUGAAGUGUGGACGCCAGUCUGCAUGGAGCCGACCUUGAAAUACCACCCUUUAAUGUUUGAUGUUCUAACGUGGACCCGUUACCCGGGUUGCGGACAGUGUCUGGUGGGUAGUUUGACUGGGGCGGUCUCCUCCUAAAGAGUAACGGAGGAGCACGAAGGUUGGCUAAUCCUGGUCGGACAUCAGGAGGUUAGUGCAAUGGCAUAAGCCAGCUUGACUGCGAGCGUGACGGCGCGAGCAGGUGCGAAAGCAGGUCAUAGUGAUCCGGUGGUUCUGAAUGGAAGGGCCAUCGCUCAACGGAUAAAAGGUACUCCGGGGAUAACAGGCUGAUACCGCCCAAGAGUUCAUAUCGACGGCGGUGUUUGGCACCUCGAUGUCGGCUCAUCACAUCCUGGGGCUGAAGUAGGUCCCAAGGGUAUGGCUGUUCGCCAUUUAAAGUGGUACGCGAGCUGGGUUUAGAACGUCGUGAGACAGUUCGGUCCCUAUCUGCCGUGGGCGCUGGAGAACUGAGGGGGGCUGCUCCUAGUACGAGAGGACCGGAGUGGACGCAUCACUGGUGUUCGGGUUGUCAUGCCAAUGGCACUGCCCGGUAGCUAAAUGCGGAAGAGAUAAGUGCUGAAAGCAUCUAAGCACGAAACUUGCCCCGAGAUGAGUUCUCCCUGAGACUUAGAGUCUCCUGAAGGAACGUUGAAGACGACGACGUUGAUAGGCCGGGUGUGUAAGCGCAGCGAUGCGUUGAGCUAACCGGUACUAAUGAACCGUGAGGCUUAACCUUACAACGCCGAAG